UACGGGGGGGGCAAGCGUUGUUCGGAAUUACUGGGCGUAAAGGGCCAGUAGGCGGCCAACUAAGUCGGAUGUGAAAUCCCCAGGCUUAACCUGGGAACUGCAUCCGAUACUGGAUGGCUUGAAUUCGGGAGAGGGAUGCAGAAUUCCAGGUGUAGCGGUGAAAUGCGUAGAUAUCUGGAGGAAUACCGGUGGCGAAGGCGGCAUCCUGGACCGACAUUGACGCUGAAGGGCGAAAGCUAGGGGAGCAAACGGG
rnacentral:rRNA from 1 species